rnacentral:lncRNA from 1 species
CAUCCACGAAUUUUAAUUGUUACUCAGCUUAGGCCUCCGAUCAUAUAUAGGGCAGAAUACUUGUCCUUUUAAGCCAACAACCCCUCCAGUAUGAAAAAAUCGAAUUCAUGACUUCUGGCUCUAAUACUAAUUGUCAGAUUGUUGAUGCUAACCAUUAAUCCCAAAAAUUCAAGCUGUUAGAAAUAUACAAUUAAUUCACGUAAAUCGUACCGAUACAACGUCCACAGAUUACGAUUAUGACUCAUAUUAACUAGUCUCAAGCCAUUUCGAAUAUGAUUUGGUCCAAUCUAGCCUCACACCAUUUCAAACGUAACUCGGUCCAAUCCGAUCUUCCGUCGUAGGAUAUGAUACUAACCUCUUUAAAUCAAUAACAAUAAAAUAUAAUUUAAUUUUAAAUAUUUUUUUAAUUAUGAAAUUUAUUUUACGAAUAUAAUAACCAU